rnacentral:rRNA from 1 species
AAGUGAAUAGUGAAAUCUGGAGGCUCAACCUCACAGGCUAUUAUUCAAACUCACAGACUCGAGAAUGGUAGAGGUAACUGGAAUUUCUUGUGUAGGAGUGAAAUCCGUAGAUAUAAGAAGGAACACCAAUGGCGUAGGCAGGUUACUGGGCUAUCUCUGACACUGAGGCACGAAAGCGUGGGAGCGAACCGGAUUAGAUACCCGGGUAGUCCACGCCGUAAACGAUGGAUACUA